rnacentral:rRNA from 1 species
CGAGGGGCAGCGGGGAGCAAGCUUGCUUGCUCUGCCGGCGACCGGCGCACGGGUGAGUAACACGUAUGCAACCUGCCCUCCGCAGGGGGAUAACCCGGAGAAAUCCGGACUAAUACCGCGUGGUACACCGGUGGGGCAUCCCACGGGUGUUAAAAGGAAGUGAUUCCGGCGGAGGAUGGGCAUGCGGCGCAUUAGCUAGUUGGCGGGGUAACGGCCCACCAAGGCGACGAUGCGUAGGGGUUCUGAGAGGAAGGUCCCCCACACUGGUACUGAGACACGGACCAGACUCCUACGGGAGGCAGCAGUGAGGAAUAUUGGUCAAUGGGCGGGAGCCUGAACCAGCCAAGUCGCGUGAGGGAAGACGGUACUAUGGAUUGUAAACCUCUUUAGGCGGGGAGCAAUGCCGGGCACGCGUGCCCGGAGGGAGAGUACCCGCAGAAUAAGCAUCGGCUAACUCCGUGCCAGCAGCCGCGGUAAUACGGAGGAUGCGAGCGUUAUCCGGAUUUAUUGGGUUUAAAGGGUGCGUAGGCGGAUUUUUAAGUCAGCGGUAAAAUGUCCGGGCUCAACCCGGGCCGGCCGUUGAAACUGGGGAUCUUGAGUGGGCGAGAAGUAUGCGGAAUGCGUGGUGUAGCGGUGAAAUGCAUAGAUAUCACGCAGAACUCCGAUUGCGAAGGCAGCAUACCGGCGCCCGACUGACGCUGAGGCACGAAAGCGUGGGGAUCGAACAGGAUUAGAUACCCUGGUAGUCCA